AUGUCCAUGUGUAGAAAGUCACCUGGCUUCGAUCAGGGUCUGUCAGACAUUUGUAGGGCUGACCAGACCACCUCACCUGCUCCACAUCGCACGUCCAGCCGCCAACAGCACUUCAAGACACUUGUGUCAGCCUCCCCAAAGUGGGUGUCACAGGUCUGCAUAGGUAUCCAUCCGUCAUGUUUCUUCUAUCAAAGUACCUCGUCAACGCUUUUUAUAGCUCAAUCAGCAGGGCUGACCUCGUAUCGCUCAGAAGCAAUACUACCCGAACCCAGCUGUCAGGAAUGUAGGAACAAAGGCAAUUGCUCACUUACAUCUUCAUGUAUUCCGCAGCUGUUAUGUAGUCGAUCGGUCAGGUUCAAUGACGCAAAUCUACUCCACAGCUCCGGCUGAAUGCCUUUCCUGCCUAUCAUGUUUCGGACUUUCAGCGAGCAUCAUGGCUGUACCUCGUCCCAAUACGACGAUCGCUAUGGUUAGCUUCUAGAUCACGACUGGUAGCAUUGCAUGUGCUCAUCAGAACGUACAUCCAUUCUCUUUGGUCAUGAUCGGUGCAGCAGGCGACGUUGGUGGUCAUACAGUACUCGAUUUUACGAAAUGGUAUGUGGGCGAGUAUACAAAAAGGCUCGGAUGUCACUCGGGCUAUAGUCCCUGAAGUAAUGAACAGCAUCUCUCUGUCAAGUUCGCAAGAGCACGCUAAGUCUGAGCCUUAAGCCGCUCACACACUGUUACAAGUGGAUGCUUAAGACUGCCGUGCUGGUCAAGUUCGACCGCACGAUUAGUUUCGCCACUGUCCUACGUUGCAAUCAAGUCGCUCAUCCUGCAAGGCGGUAGAAAAGACAGAUCGCAAUAGGCUUGCCAAGCCAGAGCCAUCUUAUAUAAAGGUUGGAAAUGUCAGUACGGGGUCAUGUCAGGAUAAGACUCUUCUGCUGCGAUACUAAGUACCUUGCAAAUUGCGUAAUGGGCCUCCUAAACUCAGUAAAGGCGUCGAUGUUCUGCCUUCUUAGAGAGGAGCAGACGGCCAGCACUGGUAUCAAAUUUUGGCUUGUCUUCACGAACUUUGUCUUGCGUUCUUCGGCGUCGCGUUUCUAUAAUAACGGAGCCGGACAACACAGAUAGCAUAAGACUCGACCGUUUUCGCGGCUUUGCAGGGUAUGCUCAAAACUACAUUAAACAACCUGUACUCAGAUGCAAUUUUGUUGGCUGCUGUAGCCAGAAUGAUCUUCUGCAUGUCUUGAUCUGUGAUCACGGUUCUGUUGAGCACGGACAGCCUCCUGAUCCAUCUAUCGAUCUCAGCCUGGUACCUAUCCAAAUGGCAUAAUGGCCUUUUCAUGGGCGCCAGCGCCAUUAGGCAGAUGAAGGCAUCUUUCGUGAUACAUAUUAGGGCGCAACCAAUCAUGCAUCCCUUUGGUAGGGCAAAAUAUGCUUGGAUAUCUGUUUGUUAGAGUAACUUAUUCGCUCCUUCAUGACGUUACCCAAACUUAGAUUUCAUUCUUGCAGCAGACAGCAUAACAAAAACCCGAUUUCUGCGCUUUGGGAAAAUGUGGUCCUGGUUCCAACCGAUCUGUUCUGUAUGUUGGAAUGAGGUAACCAGACUUGGCAAUCAACGGGACUCUGGUCUCGAAAAGGAUGGAGAUGCGAAGGUCUAAUGGUUACAACUGUCCGGUACGCCACUUGCCUGGUCUGAUUGCCAUUUGUUGAACCUCAGUUCUAUCUGCUACCAUGGCCGUGAACCAAUCGUGAUUAUGUCGCAGGAUUUCUACACUACUCAUUGGUAAAGAUCAAUGUUGGGCGGGACGUGUCCAAGCGAUGUCCGUAUUCAUCCUCGUGGGCUGUCGAUCAGCCUUUCCAGAUAGUGAAGCGCAAGACAAAUCGCCUUGGUUGUGUGUCGGAGCCAAAAGACCCAGGUGUUGAACUUCUGGCGGCUUCUUUCGAUCAAAUUCAUGUAUUGCGCAGAACAGCAACCAUGUCUGACUAA
rnacentral:sRNA from 1 species